rnacentral:rRNA from 1 species
UACAGAGGUGGCAAGCGUUGUUCGGAAUUACUGGGCGUAAAGGGCGCGUAGGCGGCCUUCUAAGUCAGACGUGAAAUCCCCCGGCUUAACCUGGGAACUGCGUCUGAUACUGGGAGGCUUGAGUAUGGGAGAGGGAUGUAGAAUUCCAGGUGUAGCGGUGAAAUGCGUAGAUAUCUGGAGGAAUACCGGUGGCGAAGGCGGCAUCCUGGACCAUAACUGACGCUGAGGCGCGAAAGCUAGGGGAGCAAACGGGG